AGCCUUAAGAUUAAUAAAUUCAUUUAAGGUGAAACCUGCCCAGUGCGUUGAGUAAACGGCCGCAGUACCUUGACUGUGCUAAGGUAGCAUAAUCAGUUGGCUUUUAAAUGGAGUCGGGUAUGAAUGGGAUAAUGUGGCUAAGCUGUCUUUAUUUUACUUAAUUAAAUUUACUUAUCAGGUGAAAAUUCCUGAAGACUAAGAAAUUAGACGAGAAGACCCUAGGAGUUUUUAUUAAAGUUAAAAUAUUUUAAUCUUGUAUUUUUGUUGGGGCGACAGAAGGAAAAUGAGAUCUCCUUUUAAUUAUAGGCCGACUAAGUAAGAAAAGUUAAACUACCCUAGGGAUAACAGCGUAAUCCAUUUAUGGGUUUGCGACCUCGAUGUUGGACUAGGAAUUCUUUAGGUUAGUCGCCUAAAUAACUUGUUCUGUUCGAACUUAAUUUCCU
rnacentral:rRNA from 1 species